UACAGAGGGUGCUAGCGUUGUUCGGAAUCAUUGGGCGUAAAGGGCGUGUAGGCGGUUUGUUAAGUCAUGUGUGAAAUCCCUCGGCUCAACCGGGGAACGACGCAUGAAACUGGCAAGCUAGAGUACCAAAGAGGGGGGUGGAAUUCCCGGUGUAGCGGUGAAAUGCGUAGAUAUAUGGAAGAACACCAGUGGCGAAGGCGGCUGUCUGGUCUGUAACUGACGCUGAGGCUCGAAAGCAUGGGUAGCAAACAGG
rnacentral:rRNA from 1 species